rnacentral:lncRNA from 1 species
CUAAACGAGCCGAUUGAAAUUCUCGACAUUAUAUAAUCAAUAUUUAAUUUUUAUAGAACAUUACCUAUAAUUUGAUGUAACAUGUCCAAUAGUUCAAAAUACAAAAUAAUUGUAAGAAAUGUGAGUUAGGGUGACUGCCUGACUGGGUGAGGGUCAGAGAGAGAGAGAGAGAGAGAGAGAGAGGGGGAAAAAAAUUAGGGAUUUGAAAAUUUGAAUGUUAUCAUGUUUUAGGGUUAUGUGCAACAGUGAAAGUCUGAAAGAAAGAGUGUGUUAUGUAAAUUUAGAGUUGAGCUCAAUUGCACAGUUGUACUUGUUGGGUUUAUUUUAUGGGCCAACAAUAAUGGCCCAAAUUAAAUUAAAGCCUAUAUAUAAUUAAAAUACAUUAUAUUUAUAAAUAUUAUAUAUAUAUAUAUAGAAUUAGGCUGGAAUACUAUUAAUAGUAAAACGCUCUUUUUGCUAUCGAAUUUUUAACCCUUGGAUGAAAAAUUAUAAGGUCAGGAUGAUAUUAGUCGGUUAGAGUUGAGUGGUCCUCCUAGGGUUGAGUGGUCCCCACUGGUUAUAGUAUUUAAUCCAAUGGUUAGAAAUAAUGAAAAGAGUUGAUCCAAAGGCUAAAAAAUUGGUAGCAACAAUAGGAUUUUGCUACUAAUAGUAGCCCAGUCCAACUCUCUCUCUCUCUCCCUCCCCCCCUCUCUCUCUCUCUCUCUCUCUCUCUCUCUCUCUCUCUCUUAUAUAUAUAUAUAUAUAUAUAUAUAUAUAUAUAUAGGGCUACUAUACUUUUAUGAAUAUAGACACCUUUGUACUCAUAAAUUUUUAAUCGUUGAUUGAUGGGAUGUGUGGUUAGGAUGAUAGUGGUCCCCACUUAAAAUGAUAGCGGUCCCCUAGGGUUGAGUGGGUAAUUGGUUGAAUAGUAUGAUCUAACGGGUGAAAAUGAUCAAUGGAUAAAUCUAAGAGCCGAAAACUUAUGAGUAUAAGAAAACCAAUACUCAUAAAAGUAUAGUAGCCGGAC